rnacentral:rRNA from 2 species
CGAAAGCCUGACGGAGCAAUACCGCGUGAGGGAAGAAGGCUCUUGGGUCGUAAACCUCUUUUCUCAGGGAAGAAACCUGACGGUACCUGAGGAAUAAGCAUCGGCUAACUCCGUGCCAGCAGCCGCGGUAAGACGGAGGAUGCAAGCGUUAUCCGGAAUUAUUGGGCGUAAAGCGUCCGCAGGUGGUUUAUCAAGUCUGCUUUCAAAGCGCGAGGCUUAACCUUGUAAAGGGAGUGGAAACUGAGAGACUAGAGUUCGGUAGGGGUAGAGGGAAUUCCAGGUGUAGCGGUGAAAUGCGUAGAUAUCUGGAAGAACACCAGUGGCGAAAGCGCUCUACUGGGCCUGAACUGACACUGAGGGACGAAAGCUAGGGGAGCG